rnacentral:rRNA from 1 species
AGCGAACGCUGGCGGCAGGCCUAACACAUGCAAGUCGAACGAAGUCUUCGGACCUAGUGGCGGACGGGUGAGUAACACGUGGGAACGUGCCUUUAGGUUCGGAAUAACUCAGGGAAACUUGUGCUAAUACCGAAUGUGCCCUUCGGGGGAAAGAUUUAUCGCCUUUAGAGCGGCCCGCGUCUGAUUAGCUAGUUGGUGAGGUAAAGGCUAACCAAGGCGACGAUCAGUAGCUGGUCUGAGAGGAGGAUCAGCCACAUUGGGACUGAGACACGGCCCAAACUCCUACGGGAGGCAGCAGUGGGGAAUCUUGCGCAAUGGGCGAAAGCCUGACGCAGCCAUGCCGCGUGAAUGAUGAAGGUCUUAGGAUUGUAAAAUUCUUUCACCGGGGACGAUAAUGACGGUACCCGGAGAAGAAGCCCCGGCUAACUUCGUGCCAGCAGCCGCCGUAAAAC